AGGCAAUAAAAUGCAAGUUAUCUUUACAGUAAUGGCAAUGCUGAAAUACAAUUGAAUCACAGAAUCACAGAAUGGUUGGGGUCAUCAGGGACCUCUGAGUCCAUCUUGCCCACCCCCUGCUCAAGCAGAGACACACAGAACAGGGAGCCCAGGAGCAUGCCUAUGUGGCUUACUCCACAGCACAGAAGUCCUUCCUGAUGGUCAGAUGGAAUCUUUGAUGUUCCACUUUGAACGCAUUGCGUCUUGACUUGUCUCUGGACACCACUAAAAAGAGCCUGGCUCCAUUCAGUCUGCACCCUCCCUUCAGGUAUUUACGGACAUUGGUUAGAUACUGUACAAGCCUUCUCUUUUCCAAGCUAAACAGUCCCAGCUCUCAGGCUCUGAAGAGGUGCUCUGCUCCAAAAUUUUGGUCAUCGUGGUAGACCAAUGCUGGACUCUCUCCAGGAACGAGAUAAACCACUUGGCUGGGUGAAUUGGUGGCAGAAGCCAGGGCAGAGGUCAAGACAGAUCCAUCCAGAGGAGCUCCCCAAGGGCAGAAGACUCCUUCCAGAGUUUCUCAGGACGGUCAUUCCCACAGCACUCACAGAACUCACAGAACCCAAAGUUUUAACCUUGUUCCACUGCCCCUAUCUCCCAACUGGAGCACCCCAGGCAGUUCUGCCUGUGCUGGCUGAGUUAGGCUGUAGGGACAAUUCUUCUUUCCUUGUGAACUCUGAAAGUCUGCAGAAUAAGGGAUUUAUGGAGCGGAGGGUUCACAGUAAUUUCUGUUUCCACUAGAGCUAGAGAUGGUCUGACUGAGAUAAUUUCUUUAUGUCCUCAUUAUUUAUUUCACAUUUAUUCUCUUUCACAAAUAUACAUAUAUACAUAUAUAUAUAUAUAUAUGACAAGAAGGCAAUGCAUGCCAAAUGUAAUUCUGGCAAACUCUUGGGAAAGCAUCACAGUAUGACUUCAGAUCACUCCUAGCAUACAACACAACAAAGACAAAACCCCAUGAAGCACAGAAUAUCUUGGAGUUUCCAUAGACUUCAUCGCUUUGAAGUAUUAAGCCUGGGAUGAAGGGGCACAAGGCCAUGUAUCACUCGUGCACUAUCUCUUACAAUCUGAACUGGACGUGGCAAGUGUAGCCAAUAGCCAGGUCCCAUUCUUCUUUCAGACGUACAAUGGAAAACUCUGUUCCAACUCCAAAUAGUAUUCACUUUAGCCUCACAUAGUGAUUGCUCAUCGUAAUUUUGCUGCUCACUAGCAGAAGUGUAGCUAUUUCAAACUCCAUUGCAUUGUUCUUUUUCAUGGAACUGUAAUACCCAGUGUCAUGGAGAAAAAAGAAACUGAGACGUAGUGUAGUUAUCCAGGGCCACACAACAUAGAAUUUUUUUUUUUUUUUUUUUUUUUUUUUUUUUGGAGCACUACAACUAUAAUUAAGCUAUCAACCCACCUAAGAGAAAUAAAACUGAGUCUUUUAAUUAGCUUCUUGAAUAGAAAUAAAUGCUUCAUUAUUCUUAACUAUAUCAAGCUGAGAACAUUAUUAAAGCCUGAAAGAAUAAUGAACAACAUGACAGGAAGCACAUUAGAGCACAUGCAGGAAUACAUUUGCCUAUUAAGCAAUCUGCAUAAAUAUGCCUAUCAUUGCUAUCUAGGAAGAAAAAUUAAUCAAAGGACAGAAUGAAAACAAAAGGACAGUGUAGGUGAAGCUGUAAAGAAAAUGAUUUGAAGUCAGAGGUGGGGAACACAGUUUUUGGCAUCCUGUGCUGUUGAGCACUCAAGACUUCAGCUGCUCUGCCAAAACUUGUCCAAGCUGACUGAGUGGGUUGGACUGUGUUUGCUCUCACUACAUUUUUUAACUUCAUUGCGGCUGUUUUGGCUCCUAGGUUUUGACUCUCUGAGGUAUUUAAAGAAAGAACUAAGCCUCUCCAGAAGCCACAGAACAAAGCAGCUUAGGGAGGACUUCUGGAUGAAUUUCUCUGUUCUGAGUCUGCAGGGAGGAUGAGUAAUUGUUACAGGCUUUCAGAAAUCCCUUGGCAAAAGGGGGUAUUAUUUUCCCUCUUUAGAAAUAAUGCCAGGAGCACAGAAUCAUUUUCAAAGCAGGCAAAACUAAAGGUAUAUAUGUGAUCAUUCAUAGCUGGAUAUGUUAUUCCACGAUCCCAAACAAAGAAGGUUCUAAAACUCAGAUAUAGCAAAGCCUGCAUUCCUGUGUUUGAACUAAAACUCACCCACAAGCUAUUUCUCCUUAGCAAAACUCAUUAAUUUUAACUCUAUUCAAAUACAUGUUUAGAAUGGCUGCACUGUUGUGGACCACCUGCUAAAAGUACUUCACUGGAUCACAGGCUUGCCAUGAGAUCCAGACUCCAAAAUCUGGGCUCUGUAGCUGGAGCAGGGAAACAAUGAGAAUAUCCCAGAGCUUUCAGUGUUCUGGUACUGCCCUGAAGCUACUGGCUACACUGCCCAAAAGAAGAGGGAGAAAUGGUGGACUGCAAUUUCCUUGCCUGGUUCUUCUACACUCCUCUCUCCAUCCUGUUCUCUGCCAAACUUCUGCACAGUGGUGCUUGCUCUGUGCUGCACAUAUGGGUCUAAAUUAGUCCCCUGGACAUCCAGCUGCACUCCAGCACAAUAAAAUGACAUCUGUGUGAGCAUCUGGGUACCUUUGCACCAGCACAAGCAGAAGAGGCAGAAAGAGAGGAUAUUAAUUUUGUGCCAGAACCCUAUUUAAAAUUCCUACAUCUAGUAGAGGUGUGAUAUUUUAAACUGAAAGAACUGGUAACUGAAACAUGUAGACAUAGAAAGGAGAGCUGCCCCACUGUCUGUCCAAAGGGGUAUCACAGUAAUCAAACACUGAUAAAAAUAUCUGCAAGAAAACAAUCAAAACCAUCUCCUCAACAUAGCAGUUGUCAGCACUUGCUCUGGAUUUGACAUAACUCUUGAUCAGAACAAUAACAUACCCUGUCUUCUAACCAUAGGAAAUUCUAUCUUAAAGAGGGGAGUACUUUACCAUUUACCUGGGGCAUUUUUGCCUAUGAGACAGAGACAAUUGGAAACAACAGUUUUAAAGUAACUAUGUCUAUUCCAGAUGUGAUAGUUCGAUUUCUAGAUAAUUUCUCUUUCUCCUGUUU
ensembl:lncRNA